UUAGCUGCAACUGGUUUCUAUGCUAAAAUGACAAGUUAAUUUGCCUUUCUCAUCUUUCUUUAUCUUCAUCUGAAUCAUUCCAUCUGAUCUUUCUGCAAAUCAGCAACAAAGGGGUAUUCCCAAAAUUUAACUCACCAGCUUUAAUUCUAGUUCAAAUCAAUGCUUGAGUACUCAUUACUUACUGCCACUUGCUCUAGCACCACGGCCAGUGUGGCAGUUGAUGCCGCAACAUCGGAGGCAAGAUGAGUCAAAGUCACUGGACCAACUAUCCACUUUGAUUCUGAAAGCAAUAAGACCGAGCAUCCAUCUGCUUGUUCAGGACCUCAGCCUUCUGCGUUAUCUCGGCCACCUUAUUGAACUCAAUCAAGAAGCCUUCUAAAGUAAACCAAUUCGUAUUAUGUGACGGCACAUUUAAAAACAAGGGAGGUGGAGGAUUUUGAGCUGCCGUUUCUUACAAAAACUCUUUUAAAUGCAUGUAUUUUAUAAAUGGGUGGAUUUGGGCAUUCAAUCCUGAACCCCAUUGCUGCAUCAUCCACACUAUAUUAGUCCAUGUUCGGAUCCAUCCGUUUCUCAUGCGCUUGCCUUGCG
rnacentral:lncRNA from 1 species